CCUACGGGCCGCACCAGUGGGGAAUAUUGGACAAUGGGCGCAAGCCUGAUGCAGCCAUGCCGCGUGUAUGAAGAAGGCCUUCGGGUUGUAAAGUACUUUCAGCGGGGAGGAAGGUGUUGAGGUUAAUAACCUCAGCAAUUGACGUUACCCGCAGAAGAAGCACGGGCUAACUCCGUGCCAGCAGCCGCGGUAAUACGGAGGGUGCAAGCGUUAAUCGGAAUUACUGGGCGUAAAGCGCACGCAGGCGGUCUGUCAAGUCGGAUGUGAAAUCCCCGGGCUCAACCUGGGAACUGCAUUCGAAACUGGCAGGCUAGAGUCUUGUAGAGGGGGGUAGAAUUCCGGGUGUAGCGGUGAAAUGCGUAGAGAUCUGGAGGAAUACCGGUGGCGAAGGCGGCCCCCUGGACAAUGACUGACGCUCAGGUGCGAAAGCGUGGGGAGCAAACAGGAUUAGAUACCCCUGUAGUC
rnacentral:rRNA from 1 species